CCCUUAGAUGUUCUGGGCCGCACGCGCGCUACACUGAUGCAUUCAACGAGUCUAAAACCUGGUCUGAUAGGGCUGGGUAAUCUUUUGAAUGUGCAUCGUGAUUGGGAUAGAUGAUUGCAAUUCUUCAUCUUCAACGAGGAAUGCCUAGUAAACGCAAGUCAUCAGCUUGCGCUGACUACGUCCCUGCCCCUUGUACACACCGCCCGUCGCUGCCCGGAACUGAGCCGUUUCGAGAAAGCCGGGGACCGACGACUUGUGGGUGCGCAAGCACUUCUAGUCGAUGGAAACCAGUUUAAUCGGUAUGGCUUGAACCGGGCAAAAGUCGUAACA
rnacentral:rRNA from 1 species